rnacentral:sRNA from 19 species
UAAAGCCACCCUACAGGGGGGAUGAGAACCACCGACCGGGGUUCGACAACUGGCGCAGCCAGUUGGACAGACGACGAGCUUGCGAGGAGACUGCCCGAAGGGCGAGCGCAGCGAGUCAAUCCCCCCCUCACCGCCA